GGUUCGUGGCUCACUGGUAGAGCACUUGCCUGGCAUGUGUGAGGCACUGAGUUCGAUCCUCAGCACCA
rnacentral:tRNA from 1 species